GAUGAACGCUGGCGGCGUGCCUAAUACAUGCAAGUCGAGCGGACGGACGAUAAGCUUGCUUCUCUGAUGUUAGCGGCGGACGUGUGAGUAACACGUGGAUAACCUACCUAUAAGACUGGUAUAACCUCGGGAAACCGGAGCUAAUACCGGAUAAUAUUUUGAACCGCAUGGUUCAAAAGUGAAAGACGGUCUUGCUGUCACUUAUAGAUGGAUCCGCGCUGCAUUAGCUAGUUGGUAAGGUAACGGCUUACCAAGGCAACGAUGCAUAGCCGACCUGAGAGGGUGAUCGGCCACACUGGAACUGAGACACGGUCCAGACUCCUACGGGAGGCAGCAGUAGGGAAUCGUCCGCAAUGGGCGAAAGCCUGACGGAGCAACGCCGCGUGAGUGAUGAAGGUCUUCGGAUCGUAAAACUCUGUUAUUAGGGAAGAACAUAUGUGUAAGUAACUGUGCACAUCGUGACGGUACCUAAUCAGAAAGCCACGGCUAACUACGUG
rnacentral:rRNA from 1 species